UUUUAUAAAAUAAAAUUAAAAGAGUACAAAGGAUAAAAAAAAUAAUAAUAAACGAAAAAAACUGAAAACAUAGUGUGAAUCUCCAUCAUGUCGAUCUAUGACCAACUUCGGAUCGCGUUUCCAGGUUGAAAUAACUCCCGUCUGAAACUUUUAGAACCUUUAGAGAGUUUCAAUACGUGUCUUCACUUGUCUUCAUCUUUUUCCAUCCUUGCAACUGUCGUCUUUUUCCAUCCCUGCAACUGUCAUCUUUUUCUUCAAUCACCUUUCCCAUCUAGUAACCAAUCACAUUUCCUCUUUCAUUUCCUAGAUUGCAUUUGUCAUCCGACGAUAUAACCUCCUGAUUUCCCUUCUAGAUUAAAUCCCUAGUUUUCCAUCCUCAAACGGGAAGAAAAUUAGUUAAAUCUGAAAGUAACUUAAAACGAAAUCGAAAAAGCUUCUUGAUCUGCGGGCGAGGCCAUACGGCGAUAAGGAAAAGUGGCGAGAAGCUCUCUUCCCCUCCUCUGAACCCGAAAAGGAGCAACGGAGUCACGACCAUAAAAGAAAUAAGAAAAAAUCGUAUAAGUUUCAGGAGGCAAAAAGAAGUGGAGAGAUAGGGAGUUGCGGGUGAGGAUCUAAGACGACGGGGAGAGAGAACGGUGGAGAAAGACAUGAAAGGGAGAAGAGAGAAAAAGCUUGUCUCCCCCCUCUCUUUUGAGAAAGGGGGGAGAUCAGAGGUGGAAGAAGGGGUUUGCUCAGAGGUGGGAGAAGGUGGGUUAAUGUUUUUGUUUUAGUAAAAAAGUUGAAU
rnacentral:lncRNA from 1 species